ensembl:lncRNA
UUUUGCUACAUUCUGUUUAGUAGAGUCAAUAUUAAAAAGUAGCAAUGACAAUAACAAUAGUGGUAAUAAUAUGGAAGCAUUUAAAGAUAAUAUUUUGUUUUAUUGUUUUAAUUAUAUGAAUAAUUUGAUUAAGAAAUAUUUUAAUACAAGUUAUUCGGAAGAGGAUAGAAUUAAUAUUCGUAAUAUGUUUAUUAAUAUUUUAUUUUCUUUACCUUUAAAUUUAUGUCACGACAUAAAUAUAAAUGUAUUAAACAUAAAACAAGAUUGUUUUGAGAUUUUAAAAAAUAAAUAUAUUCAAACAUUUAUGGAUCCGACUAAUUUACUUAUGUCUGGUUUUUUAAAUAGUACAAAUAAAUAUUUAAUUACUUUUUAUAUAAAAGCUGUUAAAAAUAAAUAUGGUCAAAUAUUAAGUUUAUUAUGUAUAAUAAACGAUUAUACAUAUUUUCGAUACUUAUAUAAUAUUUUAUUAUUUUUUUAGUUGAAUAUUUAAAAAGAAAUAUACCUGUUGGUAAUUUGUUAGCCAAUUAUUGUGAUAGUGUUAGUAUUAAUAAUUUUUUAUAUAAAUCUAAUUUAGUUCAUGUACAACAACAACAACAGAAUAAUAAUUCUGAUCUGUUUACUCCAUUUGACCAAAGUAGUAACAAAAAAUUUGAAUAUUUUAAUAGCGUUCUUCAAAUAUGUAUAAGUUUUAUAAAAGAAAUAUUUUAUAUUAUAAGUAAUGAACAAACAACAAAUUUAAUGAAUAAACAAAAAUUAAAUAUGUUACGAACAAUUAUAAUUAGUGAUGUAAAAAAUUUAUUUCAGUUUUUUUUUUUUCAUUUUAUUAUUGUAUUUAUUAUAAAAACAAAACGGAAUUUAAGUUAUUAAUUGAGGUAUUAAAUGAAUUAUUUUUCUUUUUUCCUGCGUAUAUAUUUUUUAAUACUCCGAGUAUGACACCUAUAAAAUUUGUUUCGAACAUGUUGUGUUUUUGUUUUAAGAAGAGUAUGUUGGGUAGUGGUGUUGGUGUUGGUGGUGUUGGUGGUGUUGGUGGUGACAGUGGUGACAAUGUACAAAGUCAAAAAAACAAUUUUAACAAUUAUAUUAAUAUGUACAAACAAUAUAUGAAUGAAAAUGACCUAUCGAUUUAUAACGAUCCAAAUAUUCGUAUGAUACUUACCGAAUCCAAUGUAAAUGAAUUGUUAAUAAAUAUAUUUUUAAAUAUAUUUGAAUAUAUAAGUAAAAUAAAUAAAAAAACAUUUGUUAAUUUGAAUGAAGAUGAAUUUAUUAUUUUUUUAAGUAGGUACUUUAAUACCCAGUUAAAUUAUAACGAUAUAAAUAAUUAUAAUCUUCAAUUACAAUAUAUUAGUAUUGUUAUAAAUUUAUCCAAUACUCCAAUAAGUAACUAUUUACAUAAAAAAGAAAAUAAAACAAAUUGUUUGUAUAUGUAUCUUUUAUACAUUUUUAACAACUUACAACAUCCUAGUAUAAAUAUAUUAACAAAAACAUUGACUAUAUGUAAAAACAUAUUUGAAUAUAAUAAAAAUUUAAUUUAUAUAAAAAGUAAUAAUGAACAAAAUGUAGUUGAGAGUGAUAAACAAAAUAUAAAUAAAAAUGAUAAAAAUGGUUUAUUAUGUGUUGAAAAUAAAAAAGUAUUAAACAAUGAUCAUAUAAUCAUAACAUAUGAUAAGAUAAGAAAAAUUAUUAUUCUAAUUUUUGUAAGAUUUGUUAAAAUUAUUAUUUAUACUAAUAAUAAUGAAAAUGAAUUAUUAAAUAAAAAAUUAAUGAUUAAAUUUUUUAAAUAUUAUGUUAUAGAAUAUGAUGCAUUAUGGUUCGAUGCGUAUUACAAAUGUAUGGAAGAGAUAGAGGAUACAUAUAUGAGCGAUACAGAUAUGGGAAAUAAUACCAUUAUUUUUUAUAAUACAAAUACGGAAAGUAGUAAUUAUGGAAUAAUGGGUAGUAAUAGUAGUAGUAGUAGUAUGAAUAUGCUUAGAAGCACCACUAGUGCCAUUACUACUAAUAGUAUCACCAAUACCACUAAUACCAGCAAUAAUAGUAGAAGUGAUUUAGAACAAAAAAUUUUUGCAGUGUUAAAAACUUUUGUACAACUUAAUCAUAAUAUGUAUAAUUUAAUAUUUGAAGAAUUUUUAAAAUUUUUUAAUUUUUAUGACCAAAUAAAUAUUUUUAAUUUAUUUCAUCCAAUUAGGAAUAUAAAACAUUAUUUUAUUUAUAACGUAAUGAAUGCUUAUUAUUCUUUAUUUACAUUUUUGAUUAAUGUUUUAAUUGAUUGUAAAAAAGUUGUUACAGAUGGCGAUUCUGAAGUAAGUGAGAAUAUUCUAACUUAUGCUUCAAUAUUACGUAAAAAACAGGUUGAUAAUUAUAACACUGUUAGUAGUGAUAAUUGUAGUAGUAGUAGUAGUAGUAUUAAUAGUGAUAGAAAUAUUAAUGAAUAUAAUGGUUGUUCUUGUGAAGUAUUUAUACAAAAUAGAAUAAAUUUAAAACAAUUUUUGGAAAAUAAAAUUUCAGAGUUAUAUAAUGAAAUAAAUUUAAAUGUAGAUAAUAACUUAGUUUAUAACCAACAGUGUUCAUAUUUUUUAUCUACAGUAAAUAAUAAUGAUACUUCCAUAAAUAAUAUAAAAAGAAAUUUGAUAAAUAAUAGAAGUGAUGGUAACAGUAUGAAUAAUGAUAAAGACAAUUAUAUUGAAGAAAAAAUUUGUGGAUUAAAAGAAAAGAAAAGAAAAAUUGAAUUGGAAUUAUUUAUAAUAAGAUGUAUAGAAGAAUAUAAAAGUUCACCAUAUUAUGAAUUAGACCCUGUUUGUAUUAAUAAUAUAUUAUAUUGUUAUAAAAAAAUAAUACAAAAUGAUUUUUUACAGUUUGAAAAAGUUUCUUCCAAUUUAUUUCUUUUCGAAAUAAAACGAUUACAGUGUAUAGCUGCAAAUACGUAUGUACUGAAAUAUGAUAAGGAGUUGGCUUAUUUUAUGAUGGAAACUUUGUUAAAAAAUGUUGUUCAGGGAGAGAAUAUAGGUAGUAGUGGUAAUGGUAGUAGUGGUAAUGGUAGUAGUGCUACUGUUAGUGGUAGUAACAAAAAUACAAUGUCUUUGGAGUUAAAAAAAAAUUAUUUAUCAAUUUUUAGUUCGAUAAUUUUACAUUUAAAAAAUAGUCUUUCUGAUGAUAUAAUAAAAAACAUUUUACAUACACUUAUGGAAUAUAAUACAAAAGUA